rnacentral:rRNA from 1 species
CACGUAGGGCGCAAGCGUUUGUCCGGAAUUAUUGGGCGUAAAGAGCUCGUAGGCGGUCUGUUGCGUCCGCUGUGAAAACUCGGGGCUUAACCCCGAGCCUGCAGUGGAUACGGGCAGACUAGAGGUAGGUAGGGGAGAAUGGAAUUCCCGGUGUAGCGGUGAAAUGCGCAGAUAUCGGGAGGAACACCGGUGGCGAAGGCGGGUCUCUGGGACGGUACUGACGCUGAGACGCGAAAGCGUGGGGAGCGAACAGG